AGCCAGGCUGUUGCUGGUCCCCACAGACGUCCUUCGAGUCCAUCCGCGGGGGAUCAGCAUGGCUCACCUGAGCGACUACGGGAACUGGAUGGGUCAUUUGCAGUCAAGAGGCAAGAAGCCAGUGGAGCGCAGAGGCAUGGCUGCUGAGUCCGACAAUGAGGACGACUACGAGAAUGUGUCUCUGGAGAACUCUCCCAAGCCCCCGCCCCUGCCACGUGGGAAGAAGGUGAAGGUGGCCGCGCCAAACCGGAAGGACAAAGGAGCAGCAGGUCUGGCAGCGACACCAGGCAGACCCCCCAAAACAGGUGAGAAGCAUUCCAGCUUUUUGCUGGGGAGCAAGUGAGGCCUGGGUACAGAGCAGUGCCC
rnacentral:lncRNA from 1 species